rnacentral:rRNA from 1 species
CGCUGGCGGCGUGCCUAAUACAUGCAAGUCGAACGGUCUUUCUAUGGAAGCUUGCUCCACUGAGAAGAUAGUGGCGAACGGGUGAGUAACACGUGGGUAACCUGCCCAUAAGAGGGGGGAGUAACAUCCGGAAACGGGUGCUAAUACCGCAUAGUUUCUUGAUCGCAUGAUUGAGAAAGGAAAGACGGCCUUUGUGCUGUCGCUUAUGGAUGGACCCGCGGCGUAUUAGUUAGUUGGUGAGGUAACGGCUCACCAAGACGAUGAUACGUAGCCGACCUGAGAGGGUGAUCGGCCACAUUGGGACUGAGACACGGCCCAAACUCCUACGGGAGGCAGCAGUAGGGAAUCUUCCGCAAUGGACGAAAGUCUGACGGAGCAACGCCGCGUGAGUGAAAGAAGGUUUUCGGAUCGUAAAACUCUGUUGUCAGAGAAGAACAAGUUGGAGAGUAACUGCUCCAGCCUUGACGGUAUCUGACCGGAAAGCCACGGCUAACUACGUGCCAGCCGCCGC